rnacentral:rRNA from 1 species
UAAUCCCGGAAGGACGACCAGUGGCGAAAGCGUUUAACUAGAACGAAUCUGACGGUAAGGAACGAAGGCUAGGGUAGCAAACCGGAUUAGAUACCCGGGUAGUCCUAGCUGUAAACAUUGCCCAUAUGAUGUUGCUUUUCCGUUGAGGGAAGGCAGUGUCGGAGCGAAGGUGUUAAAUGGGCCGCUUGGGAAGUAUGGUCGCAAGACUGAAACUUAAAGGAAUUGGCGGGGGAGCACCGCAACGGGAGGAAUGUGCGGUUUAAUUGGAUUCAACGCCGGAAAACUCACCGGGAACGACCUGUGCAUGAGAGUCAACCUGACGAGCUUACUCGAUAGCAGGAGAGGUGGUGCAUGGCCGUCGUCAGCUCGUACCGUAGGGCGUUCACUUAAGUGUGAUAACGAGCGAGACCCACAUCUUUAAUUGCAAAUGUAUAUGAGAAUAUGCAUGCACUUUAGAGAAACCGCCAGCGCUAAGCUGGAGGAAGGAGUGGUCGACGGCAGGUCAGUACGCCCCGAAUUUCCCGGGCUACACGCGCAUUACAAAGAACGGGACAAUACGUUGCAACCUCGAAAGAGGAAGCUAAUCGCGAAACCCGUCCAUAGUUAGGAUUGAGGGCUGUAACUCGCCCUCAUGAUCUGGAUUCCGUAGUAAUCGCGGGUCAACAACCCGCGGUGACAU